AAUCAACGCUGGCGGCGCGCUUAACACAUGCAAGUCGAACGAGAAAGCCCGCAAGGGUGAGUAAAGUGGCGCACGGGUGAGUAACACGUGGGGAUCUACCUUCUAGUGGGGGAUAACUUUGGGAAACCGAAGCUAAUACCGCAUAAGCCCGAGAGGGGAAAGGAGCAAUUCGCUGGAAGAGGAACCCGCGGCUGAUUAGCUAGUUGGUAGGGUAAUGGCCUACCAAGGCUGAGAUCGGUAGCCGGCCUGAGAGGGCACACGGCCACACUGGCACUGAAACACGGGCCAGACUCCUACGGGAGGCAGCAGUGGGGAAUCUUACACAAUGGGGGAAACCCUGAUGCAGCGACGCCGCGUGAGCGAUGAAGCCCUUCGGGGUGUAAAGCUCUUUCGGCUGGAACGAUAAUGACGGUACCAGCAGAAGAAGCUGCGGCUAACUACGUGCCAGCCGCCGCCGUAAAAC
rnacentral:rRNA from 1 species